rnacentral:misc_RNA from 1 species
CAGAGUUGCAAAACUCCCAACCAUUGUGAACCUACCUCACCGUUGCUUCGGCGGGUGGCCCGGGGCAACCCAGGCCGCAGCCGGCACCCUCUCGCGGGGGCCCGGCAAGCCCGUCAGAGGCCCGAAACCUCUGUUAAUUACAUUGGCCUCUCUGAGUAACUUAUACAAUAAGUCA